rnacentral:rRNA from 1 species
CAGUAGCCGCGGUAAUACGAAGGGGGCUAGCGUUGUUCGGAUUUACUGGGCGUAAAGGGCGCGUAGGCGGACUGAUAAGUCAGGGGUGAAAUCCCAAGGCUCAACCUUGGAACUGCCUUUGAUACUGUCUGUCUUGAGUUCGAGAGAGGUAAGUGGAACUGCGAGUGUAGAGGUGAAAUUCGUAGAUAUUCGCAAGAACACCAGUGGCGAAGGCGGCUCACUGGCUCGAAACUGACGCUGAGGCGCGAAAGCGUGGGGAGCAAACAGGAUUAGAGACCCCAGUAGUCCCUGUCUCUUAUAC